GAUGAACGCUAGCGGCAGGCCUAAUACAUGCAAGUCGAGGGGCAGCACAGGUAGCAAUACUGGGUGGCGACCGGCAAACGGGUGCGGAACGCGUACGCAACCUUCCUUCGAGUGGGGAAUAGCCCAGAGAAAUUUGGAUUAAUACCCCGGAAGAUCGUGGACUGGCAUCAGUCAGCGAUAAAAGCUCAGGCACUUGAAGAUGGGCGUGCGCCUGAUUAGGUAGUUGGUGAGGUAACGGCUCACCAAGCCGACGAUCAGUAACUGGCGUGAGAGCGCGACCAGUCACACGGGCACUGAGACACGGGCCCGACUCCUACGGGAGGCAGCAGUAAGGAAUAUUGGUCAAUGGACGCAAGUCUGAACCAGCCAUGCCGCGUGGAGGAUGAAGGUCCUCUGGAUUGUAAACUUCUUUUAUCUGGGAAGAAAUGUGGAUUUUCUAAUCUAUUUGACGGUACCAGAUGAAUAAGCACCGGCUAACUCCGUGCCAGCAGCCGCGGUAAUACGGAGGGUGCAAGCGUUAUCCGGAUUCACUGGGUUUAAAGGGUGCGUAGGCGGAUUUGUAAGUCCGUGGUGAAAUCUCCGAGCUUAACUCGGAAACUGCCAUGGAUACUAUAAGUCUUGAAUGUUGUGGAGGUUUGCGGAAUAUGUCAUGUAGCGGUGAAAUGCUUAGAUAUGACAUAGAACACCGAUUGCGAAGGCAGCAGGCUACACCAAAUAUUGACGCUGAGGCACGAAAGCGUGGGGGAUCAAACAGGAUUAGAUACCCCUGGUAGUCCACGCCCUAAACGAUGAUUACUGGACAUACGCGAUACACAGUGUGUGUCUGAGCGAAAGCAUUAAGUAAUCCACCUGGGGAAGUACGACCGCAAGGGUUGAAACUCAAAGGAAUUGACGGGGGUCCGCACAAGCGGGUGGAGCAUGUGGUUUAAUUCGAUGAUACGCGAGGAACCUUACCUGGGGCUAGAAUGCAGUCUGACUGCCGGUGAAAGCUGGUUUUGUAGCAAUACACAGAUUGUAAGGUGCUGCAUGGCCGUCGUCAGCUCGUGCCGUGAGGUGUUGGGUUAAGUCCCGCAACGAGCGCAACCCCUAUCUUUAGUUGCCAACAGGUUAAGCUGGGAACUCUAAAGAAACUGCCGUCGUAAGACGCGAGGAAGGAGGGGAUGAUGUCAAGUCAUCAUGGCCUUUAUGCCCAGGGCUACACACGUGCUACAAUGGCAGGAACAAAGGGCUGCUACCUGGUAACAGGCUGCUAAUCUCAAAAAUCCUGUCUCAGUUCGGAUUGAGG
rnacentral:rRNA from 1 species